GAUUAAGUUAUUAAGGGCGCACGGUGGAUGCCUUGGCACUAGAAGCCGAUGAAGGACGUUACUAACGACGAUAUGCUUUGGGGAGCUGUAAGUAAGCUUUGAUCCAGAGAUUUCCGAAUGGGGAAACCCAGCAUGAGUUAUGUCAUGUUAUCGAUAUGUGAAUACAUAGCAUAUCAGAAGGCACACCCGGAGAACUGAAACAUCUUAGUACCCGGAGGAAGAGAAAGAAAAUUCGAUUCCCUUAGUAGCGGCGAGCGAAACGGGAAGAGCCCAAACCAACAAGCUUGCUUGUUGGGGUUGUAGGACACUCUAUACGGAGUUACAAAGGACGACAUUAGACGAAUCAUCUGGAAAGAUGAAUCAAAGAAGGUAAUAAUCCUGUAGUCGAAAAUGUUGUCUCUCUUGAGUGGAUCCUGAGUACGACGGAGCACGUGAAAUUCCGUCGGAAUCUGGGAGGACCAUCUCCUAAGGCUAAAUACUCUCUAGUGACCGAUAGUGAACCAGUACCGUGAGGGAAAGGUGAAAAGCACCCCGGAAGGGGAGUGAAAUAGAACCUGAAACCGUGUGCUUACAAGUAGUCAGAGCCCGUUAAUGGGUGAUGGCGUGCCUUUUGUAGAAUGAACCGGCGAGUUACGAUUUGAUGCAAGGUUAAGCAGUAAAUGUGGAGCCGUAGCGAAAGCGAGUCUGAAUAGGGCGUUUAGUAUUUGGUCGUAGACCCGAAACCAGGUGAUCUACCCUUGGUCAGGUUGAAGUUCAGGUAACACUGAAUGGAGGACCGAACCGACUUACGUUGAAAAGUGAGCGGAUGAACUGAGGGUAGCGGAGAAAUUCCAAUCGAACCUGGAGAUAGCUGGUUCUCUCCGAAAUAGCUUUAGGGCUAGCCUCAAGUGAUGAUUAUUGGAGGUAGAGCACUGUUUGGACGAGGGGCCCCUCUCGGGUUACCGAAUUCAGACAAACUCCGAAUGCCAAUUAAUUUAACUUGGGAGUCAGAACAUGGGUGAUAAGGUCCGUGUUCGAAAGGGAAACAGCCCAGACCACCAGCUAAGGUCCCAAAAUAUAUGUUAAGUGGAAAAGGAUGUGGCGUUGCCCAGACAACUAGGAUGUUGGCUUAGAAGCAGCCAUCAUUUAAAGAGUGCGUAAUAGCUCACUAGUCGAGUGACACUGCGCCGAAAAUGUACCGGGGCUAAACAUAUUACCGAAGCUGUGGAUUGUCCUUUGGACAAUGGUAGGAGAGCGUUCUAAGGGCGUUGAAGCAUGAUCGUAAGGACAUGUGGAGCG
rnacentral:rRNA from 1 species